rnacentral:rRNA from 1 species
UACGGAGGGGGCUAGCGUUGUUCGGAAUUACUGGGCGUAAAGCGCGUGUAGGCGGCAGACCAAGUCGGCGGUGAAAGCGCCCGGCUCAACGGGGCGAGGUCCGUGGAAACUGGUCAGCUGGAGGACGGUAGAGGCGAGUGGAAUUCCCGGUGUAGUGGUGAAAUGCGUAGAGAUCGGGAGGAACACCUGUGGCGAAGGCGGCUCGCUGGGCCGGUCCUGACGCUGAGACGCGAAGGCGUGGGGAGCGAACGGG